rnacentral:rRNA from 1 species
UACGUAGGGUGCGAGCGUUGUCCGGAAUUAUUGGGCGUAAAGAGCUUGUAGGCGGUUUGUCGCGUCUGCCGUGAAAAUUCGAGGCUCAACCUCGAACUUGCGGUGGGUACGGGCAGACUAGAGUGUGGUAGGGGAGACUGGAAUUCCUGGUGUAGCGGUGAAAUGCGCAGAUAUCAGGAGGAACACCGAUGGCGAAGGCAGGUCUCUGGGCCACUACUGACGCUGAGAAGCGAAAGCGUGGGGAGCAAACAGG